rnacentral:rRNA from 1 species
UAAGGAUAACUACGGAAAAGCUGUAGCUAAUACUUGAACGAUUGUUCUUCAGUUCCCCAAAAAGGUUCUGUAGAACACGUAUUUGUUAAGCCUAAUAAGAAAAAAGUUAUUAACUUAAGGAAUUAUAACAAAGAAGGAACACAUAAUAAAACUUUGUUUUAUUUAGUGUGUAUCAAUCGAGUUUCUGACCUAUCAGCUUUUGAUGUUAGGGUAUUGGCCUAACAUGGCUAUGACGGGUAACG